GUGGAAGCUGGGAUCCUGAAGACGGCUCAGCCCCCUGUGGUUGAGAAGGUGGUGGGGCUUGUUCGUGAGAAACGUGUGGCUGCAUCCCUGGAUGUCUGAGGACUGGAAGUGGUGGUGACACCCGUGUCCUGGCCCCCUCCAGUGGCAUGAGGAGAUGAUCAUCCCUGGAGGACCCCCCUGAUCCCCUGGGUGCCCUGGCAAUUUCCCUGCAAGAAUCAAUAAACCCCUGCAGCAAAACAAA